rnacentral:lncRNA from 1 species
AGCCCUGCCCUACUCUUUGGAUAUCCUGUCACUGGACAAAGGUGUGAAUUAUACAGCAUAGUUUUGAAUUCACCACCAGAGGAAGAGAUCUUGGCAAUACAUUUCCCAGAAUCCCUCCAACCGUGAUCAUGUUAACCAUGCUAGGUAAAGAAUUUAGGGAAUUAUAUUCCAAAAUAUGACUAUUUGAAGCUCUGCAGAAAAACUAGAGGCGGCUGCCAACUUGGAUGGCUUUACAACGAAAUCAUGACAGCUGGGUAUUAACUCCAGUUUCCAAGGCAGUUUUCCUUAGUAUCCCAGUUGCUGGGGAACAUCGGUGGGAGGGUGCUAUUACUCGAAUGUCCUACCUGUGGUCUUCCAUGUUGAUCAUUAUGAUCUCUGCUUCUGUUGUAAUAGAAGGACAAUUUAAGAGAGGAACAUAUUCUACAGCAGCCAUUCUCAAUAGGAACCAUAUGCCCUUCUGCAUAUUUGGGGGGCCUUGGCAUAUUUGA